GACAGAGGGUGCAAACGUUGCUCGGAAUUACUGGGCGUAAAGCGCGUGUAGGCGGGUCGGAAAGUCGGGCGUGAAAUCCCCAGGCUCAACCUGGGAACUGCACUCGAAACUUCCGGUCUAGAGUGGUGGAGAGGGAAGUGGAAUUCCUGGUGUAGAGGUGAAAUUCGUAGAUAUCAGGAGGAACACCAGUGGCGAAGGCGGCUUCCUGGACACCAACUGACGCUGAGACGCGAAAGCGUGGGGAGCAAACAGG
rnacentral:rRNA from 1 species